rnacentral:tRNA from 1 species
AGAGGAGUGCCUGAAAAAAGGGUUAUUUUGAUAGAAUAGAUCAUGUGUGCGGAACCACCUCCUCUC